rfam:Triticum aestivum genome assembly, contig: Triticum_aestivum_CS42_TGACv1_scaffold_031347_1BL
AUUUUACUCCCUCCGUCCCGAAUUACUUGUCGCAAAAAUGGAUGCAUCUAGACAUAUUUUUAGUUCUAGAUACAUCCAUUUCUGCGACAAGUAAUUCGAGGCGGAGGGAGUAUUUG